CCGCGGCCGCUGAGGGCGCGGCCGGAGCCGGCGCUACCCAGUAAGUUCCGUCCUGACUGCUCCCCAAGGGCCUCACUGAACCGACCUUCAACAAUUUAAAGGAGACUACCAGCAAUUUAAACAAGUGCUCCAUGCCCCACCAAUACAGACCAGAGUCUCUAGGGGAAGGAGGGGGCACACCACGAGGUAACCUGUGCUUUUACCUGCCUGGCUGUGGUGAAGACAUGAGGAAGUGGGAUGGAAAACCCACCUCUGUCUUGGCAGCACAGGUGUGUGAGUUGAGAGGAAAAAUUAAACACCACAGAAAACUCUUCAAAGAAAAAUGCCACUCAGUUUCCACUGGGCAAGUCCUCUGGCAGAGUUGAAGAGCUGAUCUUACUUCUGACCCUCUGGAAGGGAUCUCCAGAUCAUUUUUACAAGAAGUGAGCAACGAGUGCCAUGAUCAGAGCUAGUGGGGCACUGGCUCCAGCCAGGUGUGGGAAAAGGAUACUGAGGUCUGUUGGACUGUGUGGAUCCAUGGUCUGGCACAGCAGAGCCACAGGAGCACAAGGCUUUUGUUGACAUGGGCGCACAAUGUACCCUGAUGCCAUCGUGCAGGGGCAGAAUCCAUCUCUGGUUUUUGGAUGACGGGGGAUCCCAACAGGGACUAUACUGGAAGCUGGAGUGCUCCUGACUGAGCAUGAGUGGCAGAAAAAUUCCAUUGUCGCUGACCUAGAGUCUCCGUGUAUCCUUGGCAUAGAUCACUUCAGGGGAGGUAUUUCAAGGACCCAAAAAGACAUCAUUGGGCUUUGGGAGAGCUACUGUGGAAACAGAAGAAAUUAAGACAGCUGAAUCUCUUGCUUGGUCUUUCAGAGGACCCUUCUGCUGUGGGACUGCUGAGGGUUGAAGAACAGCAGGUACUGAUGGCUGGCCCAACAGUGUCCCUUUGGCAACAUGGCACCAACUGUGACUUUAGGACCCUAUCCGUGAGAUGAUCCAUGAACUGGAGAGCUGGCAUUCUUAGCAAGACGUGCUCACCCCUCAAUAACCCCAUAUGGCCCCUAUCUGAAUCCUGUGGAAAGUGGACGCUGACAGUGGACUGUCACGGCCUGAAUGAAGUCACACCAUCACUGAAUGCUGCCUUUCUGGACAUGUUGGAACUUCAGUUUGAGCUGAAAUCUAAGGCAACAAUAUUUUGCCACCAUAGAUAUUGCAAAUUCAUUCUUCUCUUUUAUCUGUCAGCAGAUUUCCAGAUCUGGGGUCCUUCUUUGAGGCUGCCCCAUGUGGGGUCUUGGCCUCCCUGUGGCCCCCCGCCCACACAGGUGAGCUUGGUGGCCACAUUGCUUAGUGCUCCAGGGGACUCCUGGGGGUGCCUGGUGAAUGGGGAGCUAUGGCUGAUGAUGGAGCUCUUGUGCCCAGUCACAAGAGGGGCAUGUCCAACUUUCAGGGGUGCCUCAGUCUUUUGGGGAGGGGAGUGUCCAGUCCAGUGAUGGGUCCCCCAAUCCCAUAGGAGGAGGGGGGCUAUGUCCCAAUCCCAUGGUAAAGGUCUCAGUUCCAGGAAGGUAAAUCAGUUACAUGUGGGAGUCUCUCUCUCAUUAAUUGGGAGGGAGUUCCAAUUCCAGGCAGAGGGGCCCAGAUCCCUCGCUGGGGACUCAUUCCAUGAAGGGGUAUAGUGUCCCCUGUCCUAUCAGCAGGGUCCCAAAAAUGAAGUGGAGGAAGGAUGUUCUUGCCCUGUCCUGUUUGCCAUACUGUUGGGGUACCCCCUGUAUUCAGGGUCUUUUCCUCCUCUAUUUUUUGUCUCCCAGAGAAGCACAGGGCCACUAGAAAGAUGUCCCAGCUGGCCAGGAGGAGUCCAGGCAUCUCCUGCCACAGGGCACAGACAUAGCGGGAUGGGGGAUACGGUGGGAACAUGGACACACAGGGGACACUGGGGACACGUGGGAGACAUGAGGACAUUGUGGGAUACGUGGGGGGACAGGUGGGACAUGAGGGACACUUGAAGGAUCCUGUGUGCCUGAAGGAGAUGGGGAACACGGGGACACAGAGUAGCAGUGAGGGUACUGUGUCCAUGGGGAGGGGCGGUGUUGGAAAUGAUGCAACUUCUAACAUUUUUAACUAACUUUAGUCAGGGGUUUUGUUAGUCUUCACCCAGGAGGAAAGGACUGGAAGUUUCUUUUCAAGAGGCUCUGUUCCCCAGGCAAUGCCUGAUGAGCUUGGCAUCUCAAUGGACUGGGAACUGCCACAGGAUGCACAAGAAAUAAGUGACCAUCAACAGCUAAACAUCCUUCCUGGUGUAUCAGAGACACCUGGUUUGGGAACAGAUCAAUAAAAGAAUGAAGAAUGAGGACCUAAUCAGCAUUGAAAGCAAAGGGAUCAAUAACCAAUAGGAAAUCAGAUAAAAAGAACUGUGCAACUUGUGGACAAUGAACAUUGAACCAAUGAAUUUUUCUGGGUUUUGACUGUGUAAGUAUGUAAAAAAAUCUAGUAAAGACCCAUGCAUAGAAUGGUUUCUCUGCACAACCCAAGCAAUAUGUGGAUGAUGUUAUUUCUGUUGUACAUUCUGGCCAGAACAACAUCCUGGCCAGAAUAAUAUAAUGCCUUAAUUCUCUAACACUAAAA